rnacentral:rRNA from 1 species
UACAGAGGUCUCAAGCGUUGUUCGGAUUCACUGGGCGUAAAGGGUGCGUAGGUGGCGUGGCAAGUCAGAUGUGAAAUCCGGGGGCUCAACCUCCGAAUAGCAUCCGAUACUCCCAUGCUAGAGAACUGGAGGGGGAUCUGGAAUUCUCGGUGUAGCAGUGAAAUGCGUAGAUAUCGAGAGGAACACUAGUGGCGAAGGCGAGAUCCUGGACAGUAUCUGACACUGAUGCACGAAGGUCAGGGGAGCAAACGGG